GCAAGUCGAGCGGUAGAAUUUUCUAGCUUGCUAGAAAAUUUGAGAGCGGCGAACGGGUGCGUAACACGUUGAUAUCUGCUCCUAGGUCAGGGAUAGCCCAGGGAAACCUGGAUUAAUACCGGAUAGUCUCUUCGGAGUAAAAAUUUAUUGCCUAGGAAGGAGUCUGCGGUCUAUCAGCUUGUUGGUGAGGUAAAAGCUCACCAAGGCUAUGACGGAUAGCUGAUCUGAGAGGAUGAUC
rnacentral:rRNA from 1 species